GAGGAAAGCGGGGGGCGUGCCUAAUACAUGCAAGUCGAGCGAACAGACGAGGAGCUUGCUCCUCUGACGUUAGCGGCGGACGGGUGAGUAACACGUGGAUAACCUACCUAUAAGACUGGGAUAACUUCGGGAAACCGGAGCUAAUACCGGAUAAUAUAUUGAACCGCAUGGUUCAAUAGUGAAAGACGGUUUUGCUGUCACUUAUAGAUGGAUCCGCGCCGCAUUAGCUAGUUGGUAAGGUAACGGCUUACCAAGGCGACGAUGCGUAGCCGACCUGAGAGGGUGAUCGGCCACACUGGAACUGAGACACGGUCCAGACUCCUACGGGAGGCAGCAGUAGGGAAUCUUCCGCAAUGGGCGAAAGCCUGACGGAGCAACGCCGCGUGAGUGAUGAAGGUCUUCGGAUCGUAAAACUCUGUUAUUAGGGAAGAACAAAUGUGUAAGUAACUAUGCACGUCUUGACGGUACCUAAUCAGAAAGCCACGGCUAACUACGUG
rnacentral:rRNA from 1 species